AGCUUCUAACAUUAAGUGAAAGCAAUGAUCUCUGCGAAUAACUUCAAAACAUACUGUUAUUACGCCGAAACUACAACUCCACCAAUCGAUAGAAGACAUAUUCGGCUCAAGUGAAACACAAGGAUUCUGAUAUUUAAAGUAGGGCCCGGAGAUGAUUAAGUAAACGCAUGGUUAAUCAGAUGUGUAUAAUUGACACAUACAUAGUUCCCUACUCAAUUAAUUCCAAGUUCAAAUCCAUCUUUGCUCCUCAAACGGAUAUAGAGAUGCCACAAUUAGUACCCGCAGCUUAUGAGCAGGUAACAAUCUCGGUUUCAAUUUGAAAUUAGCUGCUAAAGGAUAAUAAUAAUAAACAACAGCUGAUGUUCCCCAAAUUCAGAAUAGUGUAUCUACUGUUUUGGGGUCUAGGAACUGAAAUAUAAGUCAUCACCAGCCAUUGUCCUACAAAUUAAAUUCAGGCAUUACAUUAUUUUUAAGUAUCAACAUCAAUGCCCUAAAAACUUCAGGUAGUUCUAAUUGAAUAUUGGAACCCAUAUUGUGCUCUGCUAUGCAAGGAGUCUGUGUUGAGUUGUGUAAAUGUGUGUAUAUGUAACAGUUGGGGGGCUAAGAUGUAAAAGACCAUAUCUAUAUAGAAUACAGAGAAAGAGGAGGCUGGAUAAGGCGCUCCAGAUUUUUCCCCAUUCUAGUUCUUCCUUCUACCAUCUUCUAAUCCAGAUUUGUUGAAUAUUUCUCUGAUUUACAACAUGGCAUCGGAGCAAGACGAUCCUAGUGCGUCUCUCGCUCUGCCGUAACGCCGCAUCGUUGAGGUGUUGCCGACGUGUGGCGGCUGGAGCUCGUCUUCGCUCAGAUCCUUUGCGAUUUGGUGGAGCCAAGCAAGAUCGAGGGUUCGGCAGAGAAGAACGACGAAUACGGUGCGGUGCUGGUCUCACUUUAAGUUGCUGAGAUUCCGAGUUCUCUUGCGAGUUAGCGACCAUGGGAGACAAAGACAAGGACAAGGGUGCGGAUUCAAGUGUUGAGAAAUUAUGUGAAAGUAUGCAGCGAAUGCUUGCUCAGCUGAUGGAGCAAGCACAGGUUAAGUCUAGUAGCUCGACUGAAAUUCAGAAGUCUGUCCUCGAACCAAAUCCAGUAAAAUUAACUGGUCCGGGUGACUAUUUUACUUGGGCUCGCAAUGCAUCGUUAAUUCUGGAAGCGCAUGGUCUGCAUAAGUACCUAAAUGAAGAUGAGAAAAAUCCAUGAGAGGUAAUGCAGGAACAAUGGGAGCAGAAUCAGAAGCGAGUCAUGGUUUGGCUGUUGGGCUCAAUGGAAAAAACUGUUCGGGAACAAGUUGAAAGUUUUCAAACUGCUGCUGAAGUCUGGACAAGUAUUGAAAAACAAUUUUCUGGUAAAUCAAACAAAAUGCAGGUUAGCAGAAUACUACAUGAGAUGUGGCACUUUAGACAAGACCAGAAAUCAGUUACAGAGUAUGCAGGGGAAUUGUAGAAACUUUACAGGGAUCUAGAGUUUUUAGAUCAUUCAAGCCACAUGAUCCUAGAGAUUUGACUCUCCUCAGAGAAUGGUCCGAACCAUUGUUGGUGCAGGUUUUCCUGGAAGGUUUGAAUCAUGAGUUCAAACUUCACUCUCAGAUGAUAUGACUGGCCUACCUUGGAUGAAACUAUUGCCAGUACUCUUGAAGAAGAGACUCGUUUGGCUAAUCAGGAAGCAAUGCCACA